rnacentral:rRNA from 1 species
CCAAUAGCGUAUAUUAAAGUUGUUGCAGUUAAAAAGCUCGUAGUUGAAUUUCGGGGUCAGUAGGUUGGUCAUGCCACUGGUAUGUACUGGUCUCACUGAUUUCCUCCUUCCUGAUGAACUGUAAUGCCAUUAAUUUGGUGUUGCAGGGAAUCUGGACUGUUACUUUGAAAAAAUUAGAGUGUUUAAAGCAGGCUAACGCCUGAAUACAUUAGCAUGGAAUAAUGAAAUAGGACGUUCGAUCCUAUUUUGUUGGUUUCUAGGAUUGACGUAAUGAUUAAUAGGGAUAGUUGGGGGCAUUAGUAUUCAAUUGUCAGAGGUGAAAUUCUUGGAUUUAUUGAAGACUGACUACUGCGAAAGCAUUUGCCAAGGAUGUUUUCAUUAAUCAAGAACGAAAGUUAGGGGAUCGAAGACGAUCAGAUACCGUCGUAGUCUUAACCAUAAACUAUGCCGACUAGGGAUCGGAUGAUGUUAAUUUUUUAAUGACUCAUUCGGCGCCUUACG